ensembl:lncRNA
GAGGAUCUUGCCCAGGUUACCUAUAAGUCAGAGGGCCGUCACAAUAUCAAAUUGACUAAAAGGACACGCCAUGUCUGCCACUGCCUUCCGUCUGCAGGCUUCAACUUAAGAGCAGGAGAAACUCAGGGUUAGUUGAAGAAAACCUGCCAGCGAGCAGGUUAGUUUCACAGAGUAUGUUGCCAGGGUAACUGACUCAGAGUUAAGCUGAACUGGCUUUGUGAAACCGAAAAACCAGAGUUUCCCUCAUCUCGGGUUUAACUAACUCCGAGUUUUCACUAAACCUGAGGCCUGUUUCAGGUAGCUGGUUUAACAUACUCUGAGUUUAAUCCUGCGCUCUGAGUUGGUUGACUCAGAGUUCAGGGUUGAAAAGCAACUCUGGUUUUUCGGUUUCAGAACAGGUGAUCAGCGUUGGCUUAAUCAACUCUGAGUGUGUUCACGCUGGGUUGGGGGCGUGCCUGUUGACUAUAAAGAGCCAUCAUCAAUGGAUCUCUGAUAACAUGAUCAAACAUGGACCAAAAACGUAGAUCCAGUUACUUUUCACCCACGGAAUUGGAAAUUCUAAUGCACGCAUAUGCCGAGCAGGUACCCAUUUUCACCAAAAAAAGCAAUACCGCCGCGGCAGCGAGAGCGCGAGAGAGAGCUUGGCAGGAAAUAGCUGAACAAGUCAAUGCGAACAACCCGAGUUGCCCCAAGAGGACUUGGCAGCAAAUGAAAAUGAAGUACAAAAAUAUAGUUCAAACAGCAAAUCGAAAAAAAGCAGAGCCCCGGCAGACUGGAGGGGGUCCACCUCUGCAGCCCUCACAGAGGCUGAGGAGAUGGCCCUCAGCCAACAGAGUAUGGGUCCUGUGGCUGAGGGCAUCCCUGGGGGGAGCUCCUCUGAUCCCCCCAACCCCCCAGGAUAGAAGUGCCUUUAUUUAUAAGAGUUACUGAUGGCGUCAUCGCCCCACUUGAACCAGAUGCCCUCACCAACCUCCAUGCAAUUGUAACAAUUCUUCACCUUCCACAGAUUAUUAAUAAUGUCUUGGUAAUUGCUGAACACAACCGUUAAUGUCAUUACAGGAAGAUGAUGGAGAAACAUUGUCUGCGGCAUUCGAAAGGGAAAAAAAAAUUAACCUCUAAAAGUUGAUGAUAGCGUUGUACAAUUUAAAACUGACAUCUUCUUUCUCUCAAACAGGAUGAAAUCGAAUCCAAUGAGAGGCCAUCCACUUCUAAAUCACAGCUUACCUCUCUUCCAGUCAAAGACUUAUACAAAAUCGAUCUAGAAAAGCAAAUACACAAAGCAGACUUGGAAAUGGACCACCUUAGGCAAAAGAUGCAAAAGGAUGCUUUGGAGAUCCACAUUUUGGAACAUUUGUUAAAGGAAAUAAAGAAAUCCUCAUAAAAAGUAGAUUGUCUUUAUUAGAACACUGGCUGUGGUGGGACAAGUUAUUUUGUUGAACAGUUUACUCAAAGG